CAGAAGAUCCAGCUCUGAUCAGCAGCUCCACACCUCUGUACUCAGACUGCUCUGCUGGAGGAACACCAUCAGCUCACCUGCUGCAGAAUCAUCUGCAUUUAAAUCAAGAUGCAUCCAAGAAAUGAAUGCUGUGCUGUUCCAGGGCUUCCCCUGAUCCCAGUGUCAGUGUUCCGAACUGAAGAGAUUUUCAGUAGAUUUCCCAAAGAUAUGAAGCUGCUGAACAAAAAGGAGAACAUGGCAUCCACAGAAAUCUCCAAUAUUCAGCAAAAAUCCUCUCAAUCACCCGAGAAGCUAAGGCAGAAAAGUACAGGCCAGGAGAAACCUCACCACUGCUCAGACUGUGGGAAGAGUUUUACUCAACUGAGUCAUCUACAACAACACCAGCGCAUUCACACUGGAGAGAAACCAUUUCACUGCUCAGACUGUGGGAUGAAGUUUAAUCACCAGUAUAAUCUCCAGCGACACAAACGUAUUCACACUAGAGAGAAACAGUUUCACUGCUCAGACUGUGGGAAGAGUUUUAAUAAUCCGAUUAGUCUUCAAAGACACAGACACGUUCACACUGUAAAUAAACCGUUUCACUGCGCAGUGUGUGGGAAGACCUUUUAUCAAAAGAGUUAUCUUAAACAACACCAGCGCAUUCACACUGAAGAGAAACCAUAUCCCUGCUCAGAGUGUGGAAAGACUUUUUAUCAAAAGAGUCAUCUUAAACAACACCAGCGCUUUCACACUGGAGAGAAACCAUAUCACUGCACAGUGUGUGGGAAGAAAUUUUAUCAAAUGAGUCAUCUCAAAAAACACCAGUUCAUUCACACUGGAGAAAAACCCUAUCACUGCUCAGAAUGUGGGUUGAAUUUUUAUCAACAGAGUAGUCUCAAAAGACACCAACGCAUUCACACUGGAGAGAAACCGUAUUACUGUUCAGAAUGUGGCAUGAAUUUUUAUCAACUGAGUCAUCUCCAGCGACACCAGUGCAUUCACACUGGAGAGAAACCGUUUUACUGUUCAGAAUGUGGAAUGAAUUUUUGUCAUCAGAGUGGUCUCCAACAACACCAGCGCAUUCACACUGGAGAGAAACCGUAUCACUGCUCAGACUGUGGAAUGAGUUUUAAUCGCCAGUAUAGUCUCCGGCGACACCAGCGUAUUCACACUGGAGAGAAACCGUUUCACUGCUCAGAGUGCGGGAUGAAUUUUAUACAUCAGAGUACUCUCCAGCGACACCAACAGGUUCACACUGAAGUUAAACUAUAUGACUGCUCAGACUGUGGAAUGAGUUUUGUUAAUGAGAGCAAAUUCAAAAGACACCAGGUCAUUCACACUGGAGAAAAAACAUAUCAAUGCCCAGACUGUGGGAAGAGUUUCAAUCGGCGGUAUAAUUUCCAGCGACACAAACGCACUCACACAUGAGAAACACACUGCUCAGACUGUGGGAUUAAUUUUGAUUAUCAAAUUUGAUUAUUAGUCUCCAUUGACUGGAGAAAACACAGCCUCAGAGUUAGACUCUGGGAAGGAUGAAUUUAGAGAGUAAGUUUGUUUGAUGGGCAAAGUUGUUGAAGAAAUCUGUCAUCCAGAUGAGAACAUAACCAUUGUUUUCAAACCUAUUUGCAUUUAGGUUUAAUAGUCCAGCUGGUUUGUAAAAUAGAUAUAUAGUUAGAGAGCUCUGUAGCAUGGCAUAGCAAAGGUAUUGGGUUGGUUUAUAAGAUAAAGGGCAUAUUCAGAUUAAAGUGGAAAAAAAUAAGGUAAAAAAUUUAAAAGACAAAUAUGGUAUUUCAUUGCUCAGUGUGAGCAGUUUUGAGUUUUGUGUAGUUUUUCACUUUUAGAUGGUUAAAUUAGACCAAAUAACAAAGCUUCAGGAGGUAUUUUUAAAUAGAAAUAUUUAAAAAUGUUUUUAACACACCUGCCCUUGUACUGUAAUAGUUUGUGUCUCUGACUUGAUUCGAUGGGUGCUCAACACCUCUAAACCUAUGGUCCUAGAAAUCCUGCUUGUUAAAAUUUAUAAAAAUGUUAGGAAUCAUUCCAAACCCACAUUAUUACUAAAGCCACAGGGGUAGAUGCUCUGUAAUGUCACUGGGUUUGAUGAAGCUGCUCUUAUCCCUUGGCCACUGACAGCUUUAGUUGAUUUUACAACAUUUAUAGACCAACUAGGGGUGGGCGAUAUGACCCUAAAAUAAUAUCACGAUAUUUCAUGGUAUUUUCACGAUAACGAUACUCUUGGCGAUAUGAAAAAACACUGAAUUAAAAAAAUAUUUUAAGAAAACACUACUGCAACAAAAUAAAAAAAUAAAAUUGUAUUAUUACAUACGAUAUGAUAUUGCACACCCCUAAGUGAGAUAUUAAAAAAUACAAGAAUUUUAUCAGAUUGGUAACAGACGUCAAUUAUACAGAAUGUCAGGAUACUACUACUAAUAAUGCUCUCCAAAUAUCUCCAUAUAUCCAGGAUUAAAGUAAAAUACAUUAUUCUAGACAGAUAUAAUCUGUCUCUAGUAGAUAUAUAAUGGGAAAUGGGGUGGGUGAUAUGGCACGAUAUUUUAGGGUAUAAUAUCAUUCACGAUAUUUAAAAAUUUUGACGAUAUUAUUGUGUACGAUAUGAUAUGGCACACCAUAUCACAGACCAACUAGGGAAAGUUAAAGUUGAAUUUGUUAAAAUAUUUUAACAGCUUACAGUUUAGCUUCUAUUUUGGGUAAAUUUGUUUAUAGAGGGUACAUAAAGACUUUAUGUAAAUGUACUCCUGUUCUUGUGCUGUUGCUACAGCCAAAUGAAUUGUGUGUGGAUAUUUUAACCUAAACAUCUGAAAUAAUAUAAACAAUAUGAUAUUAUAACGUUUUACUUAUUUCUGUAAAAACUACACAACACAAUACUGUACUUUUAUUUUCAGCACGUUUCUGGAUCUCUUAUUCUUUAUAUAUUUCAGAUUGUGACUACAUCUUCCUCUUGAUUACAUUCCAGAGGUUUCAAUAGGGUUCAAAAGACCAUAAGAAUUGGACCAAAAAAUGAUUACUGGAGUAAGAUCAUUUUCUCUGAUGAGUCCAAUUUUGCAGCUUUGCUCAAAACCUGGCCAUCAAAUGUUAAGAUGGAGACCUGCAGAUGUGUACAAGCCUAAGUUUCUUGCACCCAAUGUGAAAUGUGGGUGAAGAUCAGUGAUGAUCUAGAGAUGCUUCAGUAGGGCUGGAAUUGGGCAGUUUCAUCUUUGGGAAUGAAUCAAGCCACAUACAAGGUUAUCCUGGAAAAAACUCUUGCUUCCUUCUAAUCUGGCAAUGUUCCCCAACUCUGAGUUUUUUCCAACAAGAUAAUGCUCAAUUCCACACAGCUAGAUCAAUUAAGGUGUGGAUAAAUGAUCAGAUCAAGACCCUGCCUUGGCCAGCCCAAUCACCAGACCUAAACACUAUUGAUAAUCAAUGGAAUGUAUUUAAGAGGAAGAUAGAUGGUCACAAGCCAUUAGACAAAGCUGAACUGCUUGAAUUUUUUUUGUGCCACCCAAAAGCAGUGUGAAAGACGGGUGGAAAGACAUGUUAAGACGAAUACAAACUGUGAAUAAAAAUCUGGGUUAUAUACCAAUUAUUAAUUCUGAACUGUUCCUUAGAUAAAACUUUAUUAUUGUUAUUAUUUCUUAAUAAAUAUGAACUUGUUCUCUUUAGUUUGA